GGGUAUGGAGGUAAAGCAUUCCAGUGAGCCUUGCUGACACCAGUGAGCCGUGCUGGGAAGUAGAGGCCUCACUAGCCCAUAAUUACAUUACCUAUUUUCAGUCUCAGUGAUCACAGAUGGGUAUAGAGAUUAGCUCUUCAUUGGGUCCCACUGACAUUAAAGACAAAAGCUAAAGACUACCGUAUCCUGUCUUUACCUUAUUAAGCCUUGUUGCUGCUUGGUAGAGAUUUAGGUUAAUUUUGUCACUGGACUGAGAUGAUAGUACCCUGGUAGGAAUAUUGAACUUUGCCUGCCUCUGCUGGACAUGGAAUUGAUGAUUACUUCUCCAACCCAUCCUGCUGAUAUUUGCCCCAGCAGAAGAAUCAGAAUAUUGCCUGGUUCCACCAAUCAGAGGACCAAAAAUCAACUACCUGCUCAGCCUUUUUAAUACCAUCUUGCAGGGGAAUAGGAAUUUUGUUUGGUUCUGCCUAGUGAGGGAUGUAAGAUUAUUGUCAACCUGCCUACACAGUUUUGAGAAUACUGCUUAGAUCUGGUAUGGAUCACCUUGACUAAAAGCUGAGGAGAGAGGGAGUCCUAUCUCUUUGACCACACCCCAUGCAGAAUGGAGUUACUGUCAUGCUGUGCUGAAAGAGAAGAAAGGGAGCAGGUUAUGGCACAACUUUAACUGUUCCUAAUGAGAUUCAGUAGAUUUUUUAAUAAAUCUGUAUUUACUAUAUUUCCAGAGGUUAAUUUCCAAACACUUUGAAUAAUUGUUUUUAAAAUAAUCUUUACCAGUUACAAUGGUUUUCAGGGGAGCAGGUCUGAGAAACUCUUUAUGUACUACUUUCUUCAUUAAAUCCUCCAAUGUGUUAUACAUUUAAAAAUCUGAUCAUCUUGCAUUCUUUUUUUUUAGUUCAAUCAUAACUCCUGUGAUGACAUAUCAUUAGCUGCAUGAUCUGAUAGAUAUAUGGCACCUUGAGUUAGAGGAUCAAAAAAGUACUUUCUUCAACAGGCCACCCAGAUAACUAUUUUACAUGGAGAAGUGAAGUUGGAUCAGAAAAGGCUGAGAAAACAAUUGGAUUUUGUCCUGUCAUAGCAGAAGGAACUAGAAGAUAUGCUGAUCCCUUUAGAGGAAUCUUUGAUGGAGCACUGUAGGUCUGUUUAUCUGAAAUAUGCAGAUGAGGAGCCUGAGAGGAAGUAAAUAACUAGGUAAAGAUCAAGGAAUGGAGCAGGACUUAGCUACUAAAAAAGGGGUGGGGGAUGAAAUCGAAAGGCCAGGAAUAAAAAUUGGUAGAAAAGGACAAGUUCUUGUAGUUGCCAUUUAUCAGCUUAUUUGAGUAUUUUCUGUUUAUCUUUUCAGGAUGCUUGAAAAUAAAGUAACAUUCUGGCAGUUUUGUUUUAGAGCAUUUUAUAGACUGCUAAUAAUUUCAAGUUUGGCAUGAAUUCUCCCUCCCAGAAGUAUGCCCUUGCCUCUCCCUUUCCCUCUUCUUCCCCCACAGGUAUGCAUCUCCUGAACUCUAAAAGGUCACAGGAGGCUUGCAACCAGGGGAGCAAUGGGCAGUGGCAGCUCAUCUCAGGCUAAUCUCCUGAACCUGUCUCUAAGACCCUUUUUUCUCUGAGCCUCCAGUGAGUUGACUGCAGCCUCACCUCAACUCAUUUCUUCCUCACAAUGUUUCUAGAGAGCCAGAGCAGCCCCACUUAGUCUCCUAUUGUUUCUUCUAUUCUAAGCCCUUCCUUGUUUCAGUGUCCCCAGCUUUAAUAAACAUAUAGUCAAAAUCAUCUGGACUCAUGUUGUUAAAUCUUUCUUGCACAAAGUCCAGAACCCAUACACUACAGGCAGUUUGAGGCAGACUCACUAUGGGACUGGUCCCUGUCUGGUAACGUUCUCUGGCAACUCAUAUGGGACCUUGUUUCCUGAAGCUACACAGCCCAGCUGGUUCACUUCUUAGACUAUCUCUGUACCUUUCAACUUUGGUGGUAACAACUGGUGCCAUUUCAGCAUCAACAUCACUGGUAACAUGGUGCUGUGACUUGGAUCACGUUAUUGCACUUCUUGAUCUCACUUUGGAAGCCCAUCUGCAUCCUCCUAAAAUGAGACUCAACAAUUUACUGAACUGACUUAUAUUCAGGACUAAAUAAUUGAGUCAAAGAAAUAUGGAGCAAUCUACCAACUUCACUUCUGGAAUGUAAACCUUUAUUAUUUAAAAGGCAGGAGUGAAGGCACCAAACUUCUGCCGCUUUGAAAUUGCUUUCCCUUUAAAAUUGGCCAAAAGGUUCAGACAAGAAAAACCUGCUUCUGGAAGAUCUUAGGAUAUUCCUCUUAGCCUAAUUUGAAUGAACUAUAGUACAACAAAGGGCUUCAGGCAGAUGACACACCUUUGUCCAGAAAAGCCCCUUCAUCUAAUCUGGGACACUGUAAAGUUGGUCCCUACUGCUGUCACCUGGUUCUUACCUAUCCUCAGACCUUUAGUUACUAUAAUUGUCCUUUUCACUAUUAUGUAAUGCCUUUCUAACCUGCUUGUCAAAUUUGUCAUCUCUAAAAUACAAAAAUUCCAUAUCAAGAUCAUGAUGUUUCAGGCACUAUGGCCCAUUUCUAACUUUAGAAGACUCAGCUAACAGCCUGUCUGUUCCAGUCUUGUAUCCCAUUCUUUUGUCUCCCUUAGAUCAGGCAGGAAGAAACUUCCUUAACCUACAUAAGCAGAGACCAUUGGCCUUGUCAGCAGGAAGCAGUUACAGAAGACAGACCCACUUCCCUCAUUACCCCUGAUAGAUUUUAGGAUGGAAGUCUCUGAUGGGAGAAUGAAGCAGGACAGUAAGAAACUAGGAAAAUUCCUUGGCAAGUAAAAUGGGGAAACUGAGACAGAUAGUUGAAGAAACUUGCCAAACACUUUACAGCCAGGUAAAGAAGGUCACCAGGGUGAAAAGCCCUGGGUGCCUGGCAAUAGUAAAAAAUAGUGCCAGACUUCGCCCCCAGGGUGGCCUUUCCUCUUCUGGCAUAUUGCUGGCCAUGUAGUUUAGACCCCCUCACCUUUCCUCCCUGGAGAUAACAUCUAGAUCUCAGUUAUAUUUCAGUUCCAGGCCCAGAAAAGCAUCAACACCAGGUGGGUGAUACUAGGACCAGCUGCAGUGACUAUGACCAAUCAGUGGAGACCACAACCCCGAAAAGAUACACCUGGAAAAGUUGAUGAAUAUUCUAUUGAGAUCCUUUCCUGAGACCUCCUCUAAACUCCCAGCCUUUAAAACCCUCAAGACAGAGGACCCAUCAUGCACUAUCCCUCCUGGAGAAUGCCUGUGUCGUUCCAUUCCCCCUCUUCUUCACCCAUAGGUGUGCAUCUCCUAAAGUCUAAGGUACCUCAGGAGACUUGCAGCCAGAGGAGAAAUGGACAGUGGCAGCUUGUCCUGGGUUAAUCCCCUGAACCUGUGCCAAAGGCUCCCUUUUCUCUGAUUCUCCAGUGAGCUGACAGCAGCCCUGCCUUGGCUUGCUUCUUUCCCAUAAUAUUUCUAGAGCCAAAGCAGCCAUGCAUAGGCUCUCUCCUGUUGCUUUUUCUAUCCUAAGUCCUUUUUCAUUUCACUGUUUCCAGCCUUAAUAUGUACUCUCAAAAUAAAAAAAAUCAUCUGUAUAUAUAAUCAGUGUAAAGUUUUUAUAUUCAUCAGGUUCUUAAAUUAGAAAUACAAAUUUUAUGUAUGUAUUUUAUGUAUGAGUUGUCAUAGUAUUGUAAGAUAUUUAUGGUCUAUUUAUAUUGACUUUUUAAAA